CAGCCGCCGCGGUAAUACCAGCACCCCGAGUUGUCGGGACGAUUAUUGGGCCUAAAGCAUCCGUAGCCUGUUCUGCAAGUCCUCCGUUAAAUCCACCUGCUCAACGGAUGGGCUGCGGGGGGUACCGCAGAGCUAGGAGGCGGGAGAGGCAAACGGUACUCAGUGGGUAGGGGUAAAAUCCAUUGAUCUACUGAAGACCACCAGUGGCGAAGGCGGUUUGCCAGAACGCGCUCGACGGUGAGGGAUGAAAGCUGGGGGAGCAAACCGGAUUGGAUACCCGGGUAGUCCCAGCUGUAAACGAUGCAGACUCGGUGAUGCAUUGGCUUGUGGCCAAUGCAGUGCCGCAGGGAAGCCGUUAAGUCUGCCGCCUGGGAAGUACGUACGCAAGUAUGAAACUUAAAGGAAUUGGCGGGGGAGCAC
rnacentral:rRNA from 2 species